rnacentral:lncRNA from 1 species
UUGAGCGACUUCUGUUGGCUGCAUUUAAAUUCAGAGAAUUGAGCUGCCCGGCCUCUAGCUGUUGCUUUUGAAGAUGUUGUUGUAUUUGAUAUUCAUGCAUUUGCUUAGCCAUAACUUGCUGCUUUAGUAGUUGCAUAUCAUUGAAUGUCAUCUGCUGCCUUGGCAAGGGCUGGAGCAUGCCAGGGAGCUGUGUGCUUAAUUGUUGUUGACCACCAAAGAACUCAUAAUUAACCGGAGAUU